UAGCAUCACCAUGGCGAUGGAUCAGGGUUUUCACAAGUCGACCUGGUCUUCACCCCUUAAGCAAUUAGUUCGUAGGAGAAAAGGAGAAAGAGGAGGAGGGAAGAGGGGAGGUGGGGGAGAAAAUGGAAAGGAAGGGAAGGGGAGAGGAGGAAGAGGAAGAAAACUGGAGAAAGAGAAGUAAUGGGGAAGGAGACGAGGACGACGCAGGAAAGAUGAUGAGGAGGAGGAGCAGGAGGUGAAAGCCUUUCCCACAGCCCCACCUACUGGGAGAAGCCAGAGAAGCAAGGGAACCAGAUCUUUGACCUGCAGCCUGGGAGGAAGGACAUUGUUCCGACUUUCUGCAGGGUCACCCAGAAGCCUGCUCGAAAGGGAUCGAAGGCAAUUCUGUUCCUCCUUGGGAGUCCAGUUUCCAGUUCGAUAUGGGAGCUUCAGAAGACAGCGUCAUCCUGUGUUUUGGGAGAGACGGGGGUUUGUGGGAGGAGCUUAGAGCCCAGCAGCAAGGAUGACUGUGGACUGUGCUACAAGCCGCUCCACACCCUGCAAGGGAGCGGAAUAAAGUGCUCUGGAGUCCAGUGGUGGAGAGAACACUGC